rnacentral:rRNA from 1 species
GUGAGGAAUUUUCCGCAAUGGGCGAAAGCCUGACGGAGCAAUGUCGCGUGAAGGAUGAAGGCCUAUGGGUUGUAAACUUCUUUUCUCAGAAAAGAAUUAUGACGGUAUCUGAGGAAUAAGCAUCGGCUAACUCUGUGCCAGCAGCCGCGGUAAGACAGAGGAUGCAAGCGUUAUCCGGAAUGAUUGGGCGUAAAGCGUCUGUAGGUUGUUUAAAAAGUAUUCUGUCAAAGAUUAGGGCUUAACCCUAGAUAGGCAGAAUAAACUUUUAAGCUAGAGUUUGGUAGAGGCAGAGGGAAUUCCCGGUGGAGCGGUGAAAUGCGUAGAUAUCGGGAGGAACACCAAAGGCGAAGGCACUCUGCUGGGCCAAUACUAACACUGAGAGACGAAAGCGAGGGGAGCAAAUGGGAUUAGAUACCCUGGUAGUCC